CCCAGACUCCUACGGGAGGCAGCAGUGGGGAAUAUUGCACAAUGGGGGAAACCCUGAUGCAGCGACGCCGCGUGAGUGAAGAAGUAUUUCGGUAUGUAAAGCUCUAUCAGCAGGAAAGAAAAUGACGGUACCUGACUAAGAAGCCCCGGCUAACUACGUGCCAGCAGCCGCGGUAAUACGUAGGGGGCAAGCGUUAUCCGGAUUUACUGGGUGUAAAGGGAGCGUAGACGGUGAAGCAAGUCUGAAGUGAAAGGCGGGGGCUCAACCCCCGGACUGCUUUGGAAACUGUUUGACUGGAGUGCAGGAGAGGUAAGUGGAAUUCCUAGUGUAGCGGUGAAAUGCGUAGAUAUUAGGAGGAACACCGGCGGCGAAGGCGGCCUGCUGGACCGCGACUGACGUUGAGGCUCGAAAGCGUGGGGAGCGAACAGGAUUAGAUACCCUCGUAC
rnacentral:rRNA from 1 species